rfam:Triticum aestivum genome assembly, contig: Triticum_aestivum_CS42_TGACv1_scaffold_578224_7BL
UUAGUACUCCCUCUGUCCGGAAAUACUUGUUGCAGAAAUGCAUAAAAAAUGAUGUAUCUAGAACUAAAUACGUCUACAUACAUUCAUUCUCCGACAAGUAUUUCCGAACGGAGGGAGUACUCU